rnacentral:rRNA from 1 species
GACGAACGCUGGCGGCAUGCCUAAUACAUGCAAGUCGAACGCCUUAAUUUCACCGGGUGCUUGCACCCAUCGGAGUUAAGGAGUGGCGGACGGGUGAGUAACACGUGGGUAACCUGCCCAUAAGAGGGGGAUAACAUUCGGAAACGGAUGCUAAUACCGCAUAUUUCUAAUCGUCUCCUGACGAAUGGAAGAAAGGUGGCUUCGGCUACCGCUUAUGGAUGGACCCGCGGCGUAUUAGCUAGUUGGUGGGGUAAUGGCCUACCAAGGCAACGAUGCGUAGCCGACCUGAGAGGGUGAUCGGCCACACUGGGACUGAGACACGGCCCAG